rnacentral:piRNA from 1 species
CNGUGCUGCAACUGACUGGAAUAAUACUC